rnacentral:rRNA from 1 species
AUUGAACGCUGGCGGCAGGCUUAACACAUGCAAGUCGAGCGGGGUGAUGGUGCUUGCACUAUCACUUAGCGGCGGACGGGUGAGUAAUGCUUAGGAAUCUGCCUAUUAGUGGGGGACAACAUCUCGAAAGGGAUGCUAAUACCGCAUACGUCCUACGGGAGAAAGCAGGGGAUCACUUGUGACCUUGCGCUAAUAGAUGAGCCUAAGUCGGAUUAGCUAGUUGGUGGGGUAAAGGCCUACCAAGGCGACGAUCUGUAGCGGGUCUGAGAGGAUGAUCCGCCACACUGGGACUGAGGCACGGCCCAGACUCCUACGGGAGGCAGCAGUGGGGAAUAUUGGACAAUGGGGGGAACCCUGAUCCAGCCAUGCCGCGUGUGUGAAGAAGGCCUUAUGGUUGUAAAGCACUUUAAGUUGGGAGGAAGGGCGCUCGGUGAAUACCCAGGCGUCUUGACGUUACCGACAGAAUAAGCACCGGCUAACUUCGUGCCAGCAGCCGCCGUAA